AAUGAACGCUGGCGGCAUGCCUUACACAUGCAAGUCGAACGGCAGCAUGACCUAGCUUGCUAGGUUGAUGGCGAGUGGCGAACGGGUGAGUAAUGCAUCGGAACGUGCCUUUUAGUGGGGGAUAACGUAGCGAAAGUUACGCUAAUACCGCAUAUUCUCUGAGGAGGAAAGCAGGGGACCUUCGGGCCUUGCGCUAGAAGAGCGGCCGAUGUCGGAUUAGCUAGUUGGUGAGGUAAAGGCUCACCAAGGCAACGAUCCGUAGCGGGUCUGAGAGGAUGAUCCGCCACACUGGGACUGAGACACGGCCCAGACUCCUACGGGAGGCAGCAGUGGGGAAUUUUGGACAGUGGGCGCAAGCCUGAUCCAGCCAUGCCGCGUGAGUGAAGAAGGCCUUCGGGUUGUAAAGCUCUUUCGGCUGGGAAGAAAUCGCACCCUCUAAUACAGGGUGUGGAUGACGGUACCAGCAUAAGAAGCACCGGCUAACUACGU
rnacentral:rRNA from 1 species